rnacentral:misc_RNA from 1 species
UGAACGUAUUGAUCAGCCAUCGAUACUUCGACAAGAACAAUUACUGAAAUCUCAGUCAUUGCAAUCUGCUUCUCUUGAUGGAACUGCCAGACAAAUUGAAUAUCUUGCAGCAAGAGGUACUGCUAGUCGUCAUCCCACUCAAGAUCUUGUCUCUUAUGGAGGAAGAAUAGAUGCUGAUCCUCGCAGUUCAUCAAUGCUUAGUUCUUCUUCAUAUAAUGGGCAACAUGCUCCAUCAAUAUUGGGGGCAGCUCCGGGGAGGAAUGUGGACGAUCUCCUGUAUCCUCAUAGUUCAUCAAAUCCAGGCUACGGAGUUAGCCUGCCUCCUGGUAGGGAUUAUGGCACAGGAAAAGGGCUUCAUGGGGCUUCUCUUGACUCUGAUUAUCGUGGAGGUCAUUUGAGGAUAGAUGAGCAUAGAGAUGAUAGAGCUGGUUAUCUUCGGGAGUUCGAGCUAAGGGAGGAGGAGCGUCGUCGAGAGCUUUUGCGUGAGAGGGAGAAAGAAAGAGAAAGGGAGAAGGAAAGGGAACGGGAACGAGAACGAGAACGAGAAAGAAAGCGUGAAAGGGAACGCAUUUUGGAGCGGCGUGAGAAGGAGAGGGAGCGAGAGCGGAAACGUGGACUUGAAACUAGGCGUGAACGAACUCCACCAAGAGUUUCAAGAGAUAGACGUGGGCCCUCUUUGACGAAGGAGGGGAGAUCCUUGCGACGAGAUUCCCCAAGUCAUGACGCUUCACAUAGGCGUCAUUCACCUGUUAAAGAAAAAAGAAGAGAAUAUGUCUGCAAGAUUCAUGCUUCCAGUUUGGUUGAUGUAGAGAGGGAUUACAUGUCAAUAGAUAAGAGAUAUCCCAGACUAUUUAUAUCUCCUGAAUUUUCAAAGGUUGUCAUUAACUGGCCAAAGGAGAAUCUUAAACUUUCUAUCCAUACACCUGUCAGUUUUGAGCAUGAUUUUAUUGAAGAUGAAAGUGUAGCAGAGUCAAAAGAGCCCCCAUCAACUAAGCUUUUGACUCAACAACUUGAAAAAUCAGAGCAUGGGCGCACAAUAUGGAAUGCAAAGAUCAUUUUGAUGAGUGGACUUAGUAAAAAUGCCAUGGAAGAGCUUUCUUCUGAGAAAAGCUAUGAUGAUCGUCUACCACAUAUUUGCAAUAUUCUUAGAUCCUGAAAAGGGAUCGUUCUUUCAUGGCAAUUGGUGGUCCAUGGGAUUCUGUUGAUGGUGGUGACCCCUCGGUUGAUGAUUCUGUUCUAGUUCAAACAGCCCUGAGAUAUACCAAGGAA